rnacentral:rRNA from 1 species
CCUACGGUAGGCAGCAGUGGGGAAUAUUGGACAAUGGGGGAAACCCUGAUCCAGCGACGCCGCGUGGGUGAAGAAGUAUUUCGGUACGUAAAGCUCUAUCAGCAGGAAAGAAAAUGACGGUACCUCACUAAUAAGCACCGGCUAACUACGUCCCAGAAGCCGCGGUAAUACGUAGGGGGCCAGCGUUAUCCGGAUUUACUGGGUGUAAAUGGAGCGUAGACGGCAGCGCAAGUCUUGAGUGAAAUGACGGGGCCCAACCCCGGAACUGAUCUGGCAACUGGGAGGCUGGAGUGCAGGAGAGGGAAGCGGAAUUCCUGGUGUAGCGGUGAAAUGCGUAGAUAGCAGGAGGAACACCGGCGGCGAAGGCGGCUUACUGGACUGUAACUGACGUUGAGGCUCGAAGGCGUGGGGAGCAAACAGGAUUAGAUACCCUUGUAGUC